UCCGGAUUGCAUCUCUGCCGGACGUGAAGGCUUUCGGCUGAUACUGAAACAUGUGAUUUCACUGUCAGCAAUUCAUCGGCAGACGGCAUGAGUAACUGUCGCCAUAUCGAAACUAUGGCUGGGGAUAACCGUCGGGAAACUUAGGAUAAACCCUGGGCGAUCAUAAUUCCUCGAUACGAUAUUAUGGUGCAAAAGAGUCGUCUUUCGUGUGAUGGAAUUGCGGCGUGUCAGAUUAUGGGUGUGGUAAAGGCCCGGUCCGCCAAUUACAGUAACGGACUGGGCGAGGAGAAGCGGGGCCUGGGUACUGAGACGCGGACCCAGGCCCUAUGUUCGCAGCAGAAGAGAGAGCUUUGCAAUGUGAGCAAGCAAGACUAGGUUAAGCCGAGUGUAUCCUGCUAAAGGCAUCUGUUGUAGGUGAGUAAUGCACCAGCGUAUAAAGGGGGGGCAAAGUCUGGUGUCAGCCGCCGCGGUAAAACCAGCUCUUCAAGUGGUCGGGAGGAUUAUUGGGCUUAAAGCGUCCGUAGCCGGCUUAGUAAGUUUCCGGUAAAAUCGGGUAGCUUAACUAUUGGGCCGCUAGAAAUACUGCAGAGCUUGUCAGUGGGAGAGGUCUGAGGUACUACUGUAGGAAGCGGUGAUAUCUUAUAAUCCUUGUAGGACCCCAGUGGCGAAGGCGUCAGACCAGACCAGAUUCUAUCGGAAGCAGAAACCAGGGGAGCGAACCGGAUUAGAUACCCGGGUAGUCCCAGCCGUAAUCGAUGCAGACUCGGUGAUGUCAGGUUCCUGAGCCUGUUCAGUGCCGUAGGGAAACCGUUAAGUGUGCCGCCUGGCAAGUACGGACGCAAGUUUAAAACUUAAAGGAAUUGGCGGGGGAGCACCACAAGGGGUGAAGCCUGCGGUUCAAUUGGAGUUCACCCCGGAAAUCU
rnacentral:rRNA from 1 species